UUUCCAGACUCCUACGGGAGGCAGCAGUGAGGAAUAUUGGUCAAUGGGCGGGAGCCUGAACCAGCCAAGUCGCGUGAGGGACGACGGUCCUAUGGAUUGUAAACCUCUUUUGUCGGGGAACAAAGGCGCCCACGGGUGGGCGGAUGAGUGUACCCGAAGAAAAAGCAUCGGCUAACUCCGUGCCAGCAGCCGCGGUAAUACGGAGGAUGCGAGCGUUAUCCGGAUUUAUUGGGUUUAAAGGGAGCGUAGAUGGGUUGUUAAGUCAGUUGUGAAAGUUUGCGGCUCAACCGUAAAAUUGCAAUUGAUACUGGCAGUCUUGAGUACAGUUGAGGUAGGCGGAAUUCGUGGUGUAGCGGUGAAAUGCUUAGAUAUCACGAAGAACCCCGAUUGCGAAGGCAGCUUACUAAACUGUGACUGACAUUGAUGCUCGAAAGUGUGGGUAUCAAACAGGAUUAGAUACCCUAGUAG
rnacentral:rRNA from 1 species